GAUGAACGCUGGCGGCGUGCCUAAUACAUGCAAGUCGAGCGAACAGACGAGGAGCUUGCUCCUCUGACGUUAGCGGCGGACGGGUGAGUAACACGUGGAUAACCUACCUAUAAGACUGGGAUAACUUCGGGAAACCGGAGCUAAUACCGGAUAAUAUAUUGAACCGCAUGGUUCAAUAGUGAAAGACGGUUUUGCUGUCACUUAUAGAUGGAUCCGCGCCGCAUUAGCUAGUUGGUAAGGUAACGGCUUACCAAGGCAACGAUGCGUAGCCGACCUGAGAGGGUGAUCGGCCACACUGGAACUGAGACACGGUCCAGACUCCUACGGGAGGCAGCAGUAGGGAAUCUUCCGCAAUGGGCGAAAGCUUGACGGAGCAACGCCGCGUGAGUGAUGAAGGUCUUCGGAUCGUAAAACUCUGUUAUUAGGGAAGAACAAAUGUGUAAGUAACGAUGCACGUCUUGACGGUACCUAAGCAGAAAGCCACGGCUAACUACGU
rnacentral:rRNA from 1 species